AACGAACGCUGGCGGCAGGCCUAACACAUGCAAGUCGAGCGCCCCGCAAGGGGAGCGGCGGACGGGUGAGUAACACGUGGGAAUUUUCCUCAAGGUACGGAACAACUCAGGGAAACUUGGGCUAAUACCGUAUGAUGCAGAGAUGCCAAAGAUUUAUCGCCUUGGGAUAAGCCCGCGUCAGAUUAGGUAGUUGGUGGGGUAAUGGCCUACCAAGCCUGUGAUCUGUAGCUGGUCUGAGAGGACGAUCAGCCACAUUGGGACUGAGACACGGCCCAAACUCCUACGGGAGGCAGCAGUGGGGAAUCUUGCGCAAUGGGCGAAAGCCUGACGCAGCCAUGCCGCGUGAAUGAUGAAGGUCUUAGGAUUGUAAAGUUCUUUAGCCUGUGACGAUGAUGACGGUAACAGGAGAAUAAGCCCCGGCUAACUUCGUGCCAGCAGCCGCGGUAAUGUCUGUACU
rnacentral:rRNA from 1 species